GGAGGUAGAAGUGAGAGAGUUAGUGUUUGUUGCCAGAGUAAGGAACACCUGUUUCUUACUCUGACAGCAAAACACAGUGC
ensembl:miRNA eel-mir-11054 eel-mir-11054